UUUGGGCACAAGAAUGACCUAAAACGGAGUCCGGAUGAGAGAGUUACGCCUGUUUGAAGUUUUCAUAUCUGUGCUGGAAGCAGAACCGCACGUGCGGGAAAUGCGGCGCACGUGCGGUGAUGUGCGGGGCAGCAGCUCAAAAACUUGAUUUUUGAGUCAUUUCUUAGAUUUUCUUUUCCUCUCUUCUUCUUCCCUCUUCCAUGUCCGAAACCCUAGCUCCCAAAACCUUGAUUUCCUCCACUUUUCUCAACAAAUUAACCAUGAAUCUUGCAUCAAGGAUGGAGAAUAAGAGGAGAUCACCACUUUCUACCGAAUGGAAUUCCGAAAUUUUUGAGGGCAUAACCUGAGAAGGACGAGCACCCCGUUAUAGCACUGUCCUGCAUUUGGAGGUCAGCCUCAACUUUUAAUGCUCGUCUUCCUUGUUAGCCUCUGUGUGUCCAAGCAUUUGGGUGAAGCCUACCCGUUUGGUGAAGUUUUGGCUUAGAUUCUGAUUGUCUAUAAUAUGUUGUAACUUCUAAUGUUUUUUUUUAUUAUACGCCCAAACACGGGCGGGGUUGUAUAUGUGUAUGUAACUAUUAUUAUCUGUCUAUUUGUGAUCCUGGCAUGAUAGUGGUCGCUCAAUGGAUGUAGCUCUUU